AGAGUUUGAUCCUGGCUCAGAAUGAACGUUGGCGGCGUGGAUUAGGCAUGCAAGUCGAACGAGUCUCUGGGGGGUAACUCCUAGAGGAAAGUGGCGAAAGGGGCAGUAAUGUAUGGGUAACCUACCUUGAGGUCUGGGAUAGCUAUUCUAACGGAUAGGUAAUACUGGACGGCCUAAGUUGUCGGCAUCGACGAUUUAGUAAAGGUUACGCCUCGAGAGGGGCCCAUAUGAUAUUAGCUAGUUGGUGGGGUAAUGGCCCACCAAGGCAAAGAUGUCUAGCGGGUGUGAGAGCACGACCCGCGUCACUGGCACUGAGACACUGGCCAGACUCCUACGGGAGGCUGCAGUCGAGGAUCUUCGGCAAUGGACGCAAGUCUGACCGAGCAACGCCGCGUGUGCGAUGAAGGCCUUCGGGUUGUAAAGCACUGUCGAGGGGAAACAAGCCGUAAGGUUGAGUGACCUCUGGAGGAAGGACGGGCUAAGUUCGUGCCAGCAGCCGCGGUAAGACGAACCGUCCAAACGUUAUUCGGAAUCACUGGGCUUAAAGGGCGCGUAGGCGGGCGAUCGAGUCAGGGGUGAAAUCCUCCAGCUCAACUGGAGAAGUGCCUUUGAUACUGGUUGUCUAGAGUGAGGUAGGGGCAUGUGGAACUUCCAGUGGAGCGGUGAAAUGCGUAGAUAUUGGAAGGAACACCAGUGGCGAAAGCGAUGUGCUGGAUCUCAACUGACGCUGAGGCGCGAAAGCUAGGGGAUCAAACGGGAUUAGAUACCCUGGUAGUCC
rnacentral:rRNA from 1 species